rnacentral:lncRNA from 1 species
AAUUUUGAUAAGCUUUUUAGAUUAUAUUUUCGGUUGUCAUGUGUCACUAUUUAUUAUAAAAUUUUCACUUAAAAUUUAAGAUAACAUUUUUCGGAUAAAAUUUUCAAAUAAAAUUUUCGGAUAAAAUUUUCAGUUGCCACGUGUCCAUAUUUGUUAUAAAAUUCACAUCCCACUCAUCAUACAAUUGAAAUACCUACUCACUCAUCAUACAAUUGAAAUUUGGUGUGGAAAGUGAAAAAUAUUGGAAGGAGAUGAGUUUGUAUGAAGAUUUGGUGUGGAAAGUGAAUAAAAUUGUUAGGUAUUUAUAGGGAAAAUAUCCAGAAUUUUUUGGUAUUUUUUUAAAAAAAAUUUGAAUUUUUUCCGAUUUUUUUUGCAAUUUUUUAAGCCAAAAAAGCAAGGCCGUCAUAUUUCUGGAAAAAAUUGCAUUGGAGGGUCCGGGACGCGCCACGUGGCAUAUUCCCGUUGGAGCCUUCGGAAGUGACGUCACCAAACUCGGGCUUCAGCCCGGGCAAGACUUGCCCUUGGGCUUGAUCGGGCUUGUGGGACCCACCACGAAACCGAGCUGCGGGCCUUGCGCUGGAGCCAUCUCGGGCUCGCCCAGGGGGCCUUUCACCUGGUUUCCUAUGCGCGCUGGACGUGCUCU